rnacentral:ncRNA from 1 species
CAACCUCAACUCAUAUGGGACUACCCCCUGAAUUUAAGCAUAUUAAUUAGGGGAGGAAAAGAAACUAACAAGGAUUUUCUUAGUAGCGGCGAGCGAAAAGAAAACAGUUCAGCACUAAGUCACUUUGUCUAUAUGGCAAAUGUGAGAUGCAGUGUAUGGAGCGUCAAUAUUCUAGUAUGAGAAAUUAAUGAUUUAAGUCCUUCUUAAAUGAGGCCAUUUACCCAUAGAGGGUGCCAGGCCCGUAUAACGUUAAUGAUUGCUAGAUGAUGUUUCCAAAGAGUCGUGUUGCUUGAUAGUGCAGCACUAAGUGGGUGGUAAACUCCAUCUAAAACUAAAUAUAACCAUGAGACCGAUAGUAAACAAGUACCGUGAGGGAAAGUUGAAAAGAACUCUGAAUAGAGAGUUAAACAGUACGUGAAACUGCUUAGAGGUUAAGCUCGAUGAACCUGAAUAUCCGUUAUGGAAAAUUCAUCAUUAAAAUUGUAAUAUUUAAAUAAUAUUAUUAAGAAUAAUGUGCAUUUUUUCCAUAUAAGGACAUUGUAAUCUAUUAGCAUAUCCCAAAUUUAUCAUAAAAUAUAACUUAUAGUUUAUUCUAAUUAAAUUGCUUGCAUUUUAACACAGAAUAAAUGUUAUUAAUUUGAUAAAGUGCUGAUAGAUUUAUAUUAUUACAGAGCGUUAAUUUUUCGGAAUUAUAUAAUGGCAUAAUUAUCAUUGAUUUUUGUGUUUAUUAUAUGCUCUUGUAUGAUUAACAAUGCGAAAGAUUCAGGAUACCUUCGGGACCCGUCUUGAAACCACGGACCAAGGAGUCUAACAUAUGUGUAGGUUAUUAGGGAUGUAAACCUAAUAGGCGUAAUUAACUUUGACUAAUAAUGGGAUAGAUUUUUAGGCUAUUUAUAGCUAAUUAACACAUCCCGGGGCGUUCUAUA